rnacentral:rRNA from 1 species
CCUACGGGUGGCAGCAGUGAGGAAUAUUGGUCAAUGGACGCAAGUCUGAACCAGCCAUGCCGCGUGCAGGAAGACGGCUCUAUGAGUUGUAAACUGCUUUUGUACGAGGGUAAACGCAGAUACGCGUAUCUGUCUGAACGUAUCGUACGAAUAAGGAUCGGCUAACUCCGUGCCAGCAGCCGCGGUAAUACGGAGGAUUCAAGCGUUGUCCGGAUUUAUUGGGUUUAAAGGGUGCGUAGGAUGUCGGAUAAGUUAGAGGUUAAAUCCCUGGGCUCAACUUCGGAAUUGCCUCUGAUACUGUUCGGCUAGAGAGUAGUUGAGGUAGGCGGAAGGUAUGGUGAAGCGGUGAAAUGCUUAGAGAGCAUACAGAACACCGAUGGCGAAGGCAGCUUACCAAGCUACUUCUGACGUUGAGGCACGAAAGCGUGGGGAGCAAACAGGAUUAGAUACCCCUGUAGUC